CAGCAGCCGCGGGAAUACAGAGGAUGCAAGCGUUAUCCGGAAUGAUUGGGCGUAAAGCGUCUGUAGGUGGCUUUUUAAGUCUGAUGUGAAAGCCCACGGCUCAACCGUGGAGGGUCAUUGGAAACUGGAAAACUUGAGUGCAGAAGAGGAAAGUGGAAUUCCACGUGUAGCGGUGAAAUGCGUAGAGGCGUGGAGGAACACCAGUGGCGAAGGCGACUCUCUGGUCUGUAACUGACGCUGAGGAGCGAAAGCGUGGGGAGCGAACAGGAUUAGAUACCCGAGUAGUCCCUGUCUCUUAUAC
rnacentral:rRNA from 1 species